CUUACCUAUUAAUUUGCUGAUAUUUUUUUUCUUUGUUAACAAUACAUUGUGCCAACAUAACUAUGUUACAAGAUAACAAGGAGAAAGUUAAAGUGAAAGAAUCCAUAUCCUAAGAUUUCUACUUUUGAUGAUGCCGGUAAAGCCAGUAUUGAAAGCGGGGACUCAACUUCAAGCUUGUCGUCGUCGUCCUUUGAGAAAUUUUUCAUCAACGUUGAACAAUCAGUCAAUAUCUCUCUCACGGAUUCUGUGAUAAAGAUACUUGAUACUUUGUACCAUGAUCGGGAUUAUGCAAGGUUUUUUGUUCUUGAAACAAUUGCCAGGGUUCCUUAUUUUGGUGAGUUGAUUCCACAAGUUUUACCCAAAAAUUCACAUAACAUGAGUUGAUUCCACAAGUUUUUACCCAAGUUGCAUUUUAGGACCACUUGGAUUUCAAAAUGAGGAAUAUAAUGGGAGCUUGCCUAAUUUGGUCUAUAGGCCAUACUCAUGGACAAAGACAAGUAGCAUUAUGAACAUGUUGAUACAUGCUUCACAUAUGCCAGAUCAGAAUCUGUCACAAUGCAAAGCGACUCAUUGUUAGUUAACCAAACUCAUUAAUUUCUUAGGAAGGUAUAUCUCUACAACUUUAUGGUGUUUUUAUUGAAUACUCACAAAUGGUUCUCUAUGUCUACUAAAGUAAACUUUUAUAAUCUUGUUAAAAAUCUUUGCAGUGGCUAAUAGAGCAAUAUUAAUAAUAAAUAAUAAUAAUAAUAACCUUGAUAUAUUAUGAACAUAAUGAAGUCAAUGAGUGUGCAAUAUUAUUAUGUUCUUGUUGCUGUUGUGGUCAUAUCUGCAAACCAAAAUUAUUUUCACUUUAUAUCUAUGUACUUCAAAAACCUUACUGUAUAUAUGUAUAUAUCCACAUGGCUGUACUAAUAAUUAUUAAAGGCAACAUGACAGAAACUUUUUUAAACCAGAUGAGCCGCUGUCUCUUCCCUGCAAAGCGUUUAAACACACACCAUUAUUAUAUGUAUAUCAUGUUUAAUUAUUAAAGGGUCCUUAAAAUUUACAUACUAAAUGUGAAGAUUUAUUAGUUUUAGAAAGUUACUCUCUACCAUUAAAAGCACUCUGUCUUCUUCAAUCCCUCAAACUUAGAAUAAGUUCCAUUCAUAUCUCACAACUACUUUUUUAUUACUUAAUUAAUUAGUAGCUUUAUUAGAGAUAGCUUAGCUUAGCUAGCUAUAGAGAGCUUCAAAGAUAAGAAUUGAGUGGCACUAAGCUAAAUUAGUUUCAUAUCUUUAGUUUAUAUUAAUAAUACUAACAAUGUUGCGGUGGGGUUUAUAUUUUUUUGUAUUUUAUAAUAUUUUUAUUAUUAAUUUUGAAGUCAAAAUUUGUGAUACUAGUUUCCAUCAAAUUUAUUCUAUAACUAUAUUCUAGUUUUUAUCAAUUCAACAAAGUUAUUCCUUCUACUAGUUUGUGCUUUGAGCUCCCGUAUGAAGUGUUCAAUUUACUACCUUUCAUUUCCUCAAGACAAUACUACUUCCAUUUCUUUGAUUAUUUUCCUGUUCUAUUUUAAAUUCAUAUUAACUAUUUCUUUUCUUGCUUGCCCCCAUUACUCAUUGUUUUUUUUCCCACUUUUAAUAACUUUUAAAACUUCAAAUGUGUCUUCUCUGGCAUGGUUCAUGUCAUAUCAAGAAACCAACUUUAUCACUAUUGGUCAAAGGCUUCUUGCCAAUCCUCUCAGGAUGCGGUUUCACUAUGGCCAUUCAGAUAUGUUUGAUAGAUCACUUUUUAUGUAAUUAGAUGAUAUUGAAAUAUUGAAGUUAUUUUAUUUUAUUUUUUAGAGAAAAAUAGUAAUAGUUAUGUAGAACAAUACCAUAUGUAAUUAUGUUUGAAAUUAUUGACAUUGAGAGUUUUUUUAUAUAUAGAGCUAUAUCUUA